CAAAUGCAUUGUUGAAGUUCAACGGCCAAACCGAAAAGAGCUGGCUCAUUAUGAGCCCAGCAGGUCCAUCUUUCUGCAUAAGAAGUAUCGAUGCACACAUACAUACACACAAAGUUUCUGCUCUCUCUGCUUACUCUUAUUCUUCCUCUACUUGAAGAUCUCUAAUCGUCCGCCAUUUUCCUGAUUUGAUUCAAUUUGAGACAUUCGAGAGGUGUUGGGAUCUAAUUGGUGAGAGGUUAGAGUGAUUGGCUUUUGAUUGGAGUAUGGCGAGUAUGUCUCAUUCUUCGGUUGCAUUUACUGGAGCUUCAGCUUCGGAUAUUUUUCGGAGCUCCAGGAACGGUGUGAGUGGUGUUCCGUUGAAAGUGUUAGGUAGGACGCGGUUUAGAGUGAAUCAGAGUGGAUUAGGUGUGACUGCAAAGCUUAGGAAGGUGAAGAAGCAUGAGUAUCCAUGGCCGGAUGAUGCUGAUCCGAAUGUGAAAGGUGGAGUACUCUCUCAUCUCUCUCCUUUUAAGCCAUUGAAGGAGAAGCCAAAGCCUGUAACUUUGGAUUUUGAGAGACCGCUUGUUCAGCUGGAAAAGAAGAUCAUUGAUGUGAGGAAGAUGGCAAAUGAAACUGGUUUGGACUUCUCUGAUCAGAUAGUAUCUUUGGAAAAUAAGUAUCAACAGGCUCUAAAGGAUUUGUAUACACAUCUGACCCCUAUACAACGUGUGAAUAUUGCACGGCAUCCUAACAGACCCACUUUCCUUGAUCAUGUAUUUAACAUUACUGAGAAGUUUGUAGAGCUUCAUGGAGAUCGAGCAGGAUAUGAUGAUCCUGCAAUUGUUACUGGUAUAGGAACCAUAGAUGGCAGGCGGUACAUGUUCAUGGGUCACCAAAAGGGUAGGAACACAAAAGAGAACAUUCAGCGUAACUUUGGAAUGCCUACUCCUCAUGGUUACCGGAAGGCCCUCCGCAUGAUGUAUUAUGCUGAUCACCAUGGGUUCCCCAUAGUUACAUUCAUUGACACACCUGGUGCAUAUGCAGACCUAAAAUCUGAGGAAUUGGGUCAAGGUGAAGCCAUUGCUCACAAUUUGAGGACCAUGUUUGGUCUUAAGGUACCAAUUAUCUCCAUUGUUAUUGGCGAGGGUGGCUCUGGUGGUGCGCUGGCCAUAGGCUGUGCUAAUAAAUUAUUGAUGCUUGAAAAUGCUGUUUUCUAUGUUGCAAGUCCAGAAGCAUGUGCAGCUAUAUUGUGGAAAAGCGCCAAAGCUGCCCCAAAGGCAGCUGAGAAGCUGAAGAUUACUUCUAUUGAGUUGUGCAAGCUACAAAUUGCAGAUGCCGUGAUCCCUGAGCCUCUAGGAGGUGCACAUGCUGACCCUUCUUGGACUUCACAACAGAUAAAACAAGCUAUAAAUGAAUCAAUGGAUGAGCUUCUGAAGAUGGACACACAACAGCUACUAAAACAUCGCAUGCUUAAGUUCCGGAAAAUUGGUGGAUUUCAAGAAGGAAUCCCCAUUGAUCCGGAGAGAAAAGUCAACAUGAAAAAGAAAGAAGAACCUAUUUUUGGCCAGACUUCAAAUGAAAAAUUGGAGGGUGAGGUUGAACAUCUGAAACAGCAAAUUUUGAAAGCUAAGGAGACAUCAACAACACCUCCAGAAGUGGCUCUGAAUCAGAUGUUAGAGAAACUGAAAAGAGAGGUUGAUCAUGAGUUUUUUGAGGCAAUUAAAGCCAUGGGCUUGCAGGACAGGCUUGCUAUGUUGCGAGAAGAAUAUUUGAGUGCAAGUUCUGGGGAUCAACUCAUGCAUCCAGUUUUGAUGGACAAGAUAGCAAAGUUUAAAGAUGAGCUUGACCAAGGCCUGUCUGCAGCUCCUAAUUAUGGAAGCCUGAAAUAUAAGCUUGACAUGUUGAAGGAAUUCUCUAAAGCCAAGAGUUUAUCAGAGCGCAAAAGCAAGGCUUCUAGAUUGAAGCAGGAUAUCAAUGAAAAAUUCAAAGAAAUCAUUGGUCAAUCUGAUUUAAAAGAGAAGAUGGAAGCAUUAAAGGCUGAAAUUCAGGAGUCUGGGGUAUCCAAUUUAGGGGAUCUAGAUGAAGAGGUGAAGGAGAGAAUUGUGUCAGUGAAACAAGAGAUAGAGUCAGAACUAACCAAUGUUCUCAAGUCCAUGGGUCUGGAGAUUGUGGAUGUAAAAUCAAAGAAGGCUGGAGAGCUCAGUGAAGAGACUUCAUUUUCAAACUUCAAGGGUAAGAUGGACAAAUUGAAUGAAGAAAUUAACAAAAAAAUAGAAGAUGUUAUUAAAUCGUCAGAUCUGAAAGCCACGAUUGAAUUUCUGAAGUUGGAGAGAGCAAAGGCAGGGAAGGCGCCAGAUAUUACAUCGAAAAAUAAGAUUGAGGCACUAGAGCGACAAAUUAAGCAAAAGCUUUCAAAGGCUAUAAGCUCCUCUGAAUUAAAGAAGCAGCAUGAGGAUCUGAUGGCUGAGAUCUCUGAAACCACAGAGUCUGUUGGAGGAUUAGAUGAAAGUUUGAAGACCGACACUUCCAACUAUGAUGAGUCCACAGUAGAGAUUAAUGUGGGUGCAAACAGCAGCUUUGCUUAGUAUCAAGAAGGACUCUUACAUCACCACCUCAAGGCCUAGAAGAUCAGAUUCUAGUUAUAAUGUUUUAUAGUGUUGCAUACUUUGUGCUUACUGGAUAAUUGGUGAUGAAAGAUUGCCAAGGUUCGUAAAUCCAAUUUUUUGAAGGGGUGGAUUCGAACCAAGUCGAGUCUGAACAAGGUAUUUAUGUUUCUAUCAGAACAUUACUGGUGAAGUGCAAAGCAGUUAGCAGUGAUUGAUCAGGCACAUGGAAUUGCAUCAACCUUCUUUCAGACAGGAUACUAGCACUGCGUGGUCACCUUUGCUAGAGGUCUUGCAGUCGCACAAGCACAAGGAGUACACUGUUCCUGGUUGAGCACAUUUCUUGCUGUAACUUUUUCUGUUCAUUUAUCCUUGUUUUCAUUACUUUAUUUUGGUGGAAACAGUGUAUAGAUUAAGUGAGAGCAAAGGGGAAACUAAAUAUCAUGCUUCCAAAUGUCAGGAAUAAGCCUUUUUUCUGAGUA